UCUUCAUCAAUUACUGAGACCCACGUGACCAAAUUUAAAUUUCCCGCUUUAAAUAUUUUUUCUUUAUGUUGGUAGACACGGACAGUUGGUUAAAACAAAAUACCCAAAUUGCAUAUUUGUUUAUUUCACCUCCUGUCAAUCUUUGCUUGUGUUUACCGUUUUUUUCGAAUUUCUUUAACAUUAUCUUAAAUCAACAGCCAAAACAGUUCUUUUCAGAGCUCUUAACGCUACGAAGUUAUUCUGAUUGUAUCGCUGUAGGAAGAUGGUGUUCACACCAGAGCAAGAUGCUUUUAUUUUAAUGGCACAUUUCCGCAGUGGUAACCGAAAUCCUGAUGGAACUUGGAGUAUUCACUGCAAUCGUGCAUUGAACAGUUUUCCGAAGAGAACCCUGAUGUUAAUAUCGACUACGAUGUAUUUAAGAACCACAGGUCACGUCUAAUAACACGAUAUGAAAACAAGCACUGCAUUUGCAAAGGGAAGUCAACAGGCAGACCGCUAACGAAACGCUUAGAUACCUCCAAGAAUUUUAUGGCGAUCGAAUUAUAAGCACUGGUUUGUGGCCUCCAAGAAGUCCUGAUCUCACACCAUUGGACUACUUUUUGUUUGGACGAAUUAAAAAUAAUAUAUUUAAAAAUCGACUGCACACACUCAAAGAAUUGGAAAGGGCGAUACGACAAGAAAUAAACGAUGUGACGCAAGAUGAACUCGAACGUGUAUUUGAAAAUAUGAAGCGUAGAGUGAAUUUGUGCCUGGAAGUGAACGGUGGCCACUUUGAGCACCUUUUGUAACAAUAAAUAGUACAAUAUAUUUCGUGUUUCUCUAAAAUACUUAAUUCGGCC